UUUAAUGUUUUUCUUUAAAUUUUUUUAUUUGGGUAGUAAAGAUCUGUUGAUUCCACAUCCCCCUAUGUAACCAAUAAAAAUGAGAUCAGUAGCCUCUCCACCGCUAAGUUUGAGAUUGGUACGUGUCCCCCACCGUCAUCAUCCUCCAUUAAUCCUUUUUAAUCCUUCUUGGUGUAACCCCCACCGCUCCACCGAGUGAUCCUUACACUCAUUUUCCCCAUUCUCCUAUAUCUAUGUCAGAUGAAGGACCAUUUUUUCAUCAUUGAUUUGGUUUCCGAUCAUUCCACUUCUUUCGCCGCUAUAUCCCCACCACCUCUCCAAACCCUCCAUCUCUCUCUAAAGUCAUCCACAUCCAAGAAAAUCAGUCCUCCACCGUGCGUCGUGCAUUUGCUAUAAGCCCUCCUUGGAUCUUCUUCUACCCCCUGUUCCCUCCUCCAUCCAAACACAAAAGGGGCAUCGAUUACAUUACAUCGUCUCCACUUUCGUCGUCUUCCUUCUCUGCUUUGCACCAGGCUGCUCCAUUCAGAUACCUCCUAUUUCUGUAAAGUUAAAAUCCCAAAAUACCCUUCCAUGUCAUUGAGAUUGUUACAACUUACAAUUGCAUUAUACAGUGCCAUAGAUGGUCUAGCUACACUUGCUGAGGAGCCUGAUUUGGUUACAAAAAUGUCUUUUUUAAAGCCUAUUAAAAAUAACAUUUUGGUAUUGCAUUUAUCGGAAGUACAGUUACGGUUAUCGCUUGAUAUCAUUUUCUCAACUACUAAAAUUCUCUACUUUCUUUAUUGUAAUUGUUCAAAUUUAACAGUUGUUGACUUCAUUUGAUACAAAUAAUCUACCAGUAUGAUCAUCCCAUUA